CUUCAAUAAUCUCUGAACAAAUUCAACAGCAUCAGUUGGCCCAAAUACCCCCCAUAAACCAUCACAACCAAGAAUGAUGAAGUGUUCUCUGUCUGUCAGGUCAAAAGAAUGAAUAUCUGGAGUUGCAACAACGCCCACCUGCAACUCACUCUUAUUUUAGAUAGCAACAUAUCAUACAUUAUAGGUUCCUUAAUAUGGUUUUGCAACCCGUAAAAAUUC
rnacentral:misc_RNA from 1 species